rnacentral:misc_RNA from 1 species
GAUGAAGAACGUAGCGAAAUGCGAUAAGUAAUGUGAAUUGCAGAAUUCAGUGAAUCAUCGAAUCUUUGAACGCACCUUGCGCCCUUUGGCCAUUCCGAAGGGCAUGCCUGUUUGAGUAUCAUGAACACCUCAACUCUUCAUGGUUUUCCGUGAUGAGCUUGGACUUUGGGGGUCUUGCUGGCCUAUGGUCAGCUCCUCUAAAAUAAAUCAGCUUGCCAGUGUUUGGUGGGUAUCACAGGUGUGAUAACUAUCUACGCUUGUGGUUUUCCACCAGGUAACCUUCAGCAGUGGAGGUUCGCUGGAGCUCACAGAUGUGUCUCUCCUCUGUGAGGACAGCUCUUUGAAUGUUUGAUCUCAAAUCAGGUAGGACUACCCGCUGAACUUAAGCAUAUCAAUAAGCGGAGGA